UACGUAGGGGGCAAGCGUUGUCCGGAAUCAUUGGGCGUAAAGAGCGUGUAGGCGGCCCGAUAAGUCCGCUGUGAAAGUCCAGGGCUCAACCCUGGGAUGCCGGUGGAUACUGUCGGGCUCGAGUCCGGAAGAGGAGUGUGGAAUUCCUGGUGUAGCGGUGAAAUGCGCAGAUAUCAGGAGGAACACCGGUGGCGAAGGCGGAUCUCUGGGCCGAUACUGACGCUGAGGAGCGAAAGCGUGGGGAGCGAACAGG
rnacentral:rRNA from 1 species